rnacentral:rRNA from 1 species
UACGUAGGGGCCUAGCGUUGUCCGGAUUUAUUGGGCGUAAAGUGUGCGCAGGCGGCUCUGCAAGUCGAGUGUGAAAUCCCCGAGCUUAACUUGGGAAUUGCGCUCGAAACUAUGGAGCUGGAGUGUGGCAGAGGAAGGUGGAAUUCCACGUGUAGCGGUGAAAUGCGUAGAGAUCUGGAGGAAUACCGAUGGCGAAGGCAGCCAUCUGGCCUAACACUGACGCUGAGGUGCGAAAGCAUGGGGAGCAAACAGG